rnacentral:misc_RNA from 1 species
GAUGAAGAACGCAGCGAAAUGCGAUAAGUAGUGUGAAUUGCAGAAUUCAGUGAAUCAUCGAAUCUUUGAACGCACAUUGCGCCCCUUGGUAUUCCGAGGGGCAUGCCUGUUCGAGCGUCAUUAUAACCCCUCAGCUUAGCUUGGUGUUGGGGCCUGCUGUAAUAGAGCAGCCCUUAAAAUCAGUGGCGGUGCCAUUAGGCUCUAAGCGUAGUAAUUCUUCUCGCUAUAGGGUUCUGGUGGAUGCUUGCCAUUAACCUCUAAUUUUCUAUGGUUGACCUCGGAUCAGGUAGGGAUACCCGCUGAACUUAAGCAUAUCAAUAAGCGGAGGA